rnacentral:lncRNA from 1 species
CUCAGGUUUACUGUCAGGUUCGCCCUUAUCCUAGUUUAGUUGUGUUUCACUUUGUCCUAAAAAUCCAAAAAAAUAGCCCUACAAAAAUACUUGUAUUCAUCUUUGUUUUCCCCAAGUCCUAUCACCCGUUGUGGCCGUGCAAUAAUUUUAUUUCAGUUUGCUUUAUUGAACGGUCGUCCUUCGUUAUGUCAUUGUGUUCGUUGGUUUAGAUAAGUCUAGGUCUGGUUUGUUGACGUCCAUUCAGUUUGAUCACAUCUUUAGUUUUAUUUUUUUUUUACGGCUGUAGGUUUGGGCUCAGUUUCUUUUGCCGUGGGUUACAAAUCAGUUAGUUGCGUAUCAGGUACUUUAUACAUUGCGGAAUAUUCUGUACAAAGAAAAAGAAAGAGCCACACAAAAAAAAGUAAAAGGCAACGAGCUGCAUAAAAAAAAAGAGAGAGUAAAAGCCGCAGCAAAAAAAAAGUGAAAAGAAUUUCAGAAGUGCUUGCAUCCUUUGAGUCUCCACGCCGAGUUGUAUUGUUGCUUGCUUGAACUAGGUCC